UACGAAGGGGGCUAGCGUUGUUCGGAAUCACUGGGCGUAAAGCGCGUGUAGGCGGAUCGUUAAGUCGGGGGUGAAAUCCUGAGGCUCAACCUCAGAACUGCCUUCGAUACUGGCGAUCUUAGAGUCCGGGAGAGGUGAGUGGAACUCCUAGUGUAGAGGUGAAAUGCGCAGAUAUCAGGAGGAACACCGGUGGCGAAGGCGGGUCUCUGGGCCGAUAUUGACGCUGAGGAGCGAAAGCGUGGGGAGCAAACAGG
rnacentral:rRNA from 1 species